CAGCACGGGUGCUUGCACCUGGUGGCGAGUGGCGAACGGGUGAGUAAUACAUCGGAACAUGUCCUGUAGUGGGGGAUAGCCCGGCGAAAGCCGGAUUAAUACCGCAUACGAUCCAUGGAUGAAAGCGGGGGACCUUCGGGCCUCGCGCUAUAGGGUUGGCCGAUGGCUGAUUAGCUAGUUGGUGGGGUAAAGGCCUACCAAGGCGACGAUCAGUAGCUGGUCUGAGAGGACGACCAGCCACACUGGGACUGAGACACGGCCCAGACUCCUACGGGAGGCAGCAGUGGGGAAUUUUGGACAAUGGGCGAAAGCCUGAUCCAGCAAUGCCGCGUGUGUGAAGAAGGCCUUCGGGUUGUAAAGCACUUUUGUCCGGAAAGAAAUCCUUGGCCCUAAUACGGUCGGGGGAUGACGGUACCGGAAGAAUAAGCACCGGCUAACUACGUGCCAGCAGCCGCGGUAAUACGUAGGGUGCGAGCGUUAAUCGGAAUUACUGGGCGUAAAGCGUGCGCAGGCGGUUUGCUAAGACCGAUGUGAAAUCCCCGGGCUCAACCUGGGAACUGCAUUGGUGACUGGCAGGCUAGAGUAUGGCAGAGGGGGGUAGAAUUCCACGUGUAGCAGUGAAAUGCGUAGAGAUGUGGAGGAAUACCGAUGGCGAAGGCAGCCCCCUGGGCCAAUACUGACGCUCAUGCAC
rnacentral:rRNA from 1 species